GCCGAGGCACUGCAGGAUGAGGCAGGCUAUUAGUUUCGCCUAGAAAUGCCCGAAAAUCGGAUAUUUUCGCGUUUUCCUCCUCUCUCCAGAUUGAAGGAGGUAUAAAAACAUCAUCCAGUUGCUUGUUUUGGCUUAACCUUGGCAGAUGUAAGUAUGUAUUUAUGAAAUCCCUUUAUCUGAGCACUGAGCUUUUUCUGUCUGCCCAGAGUGUGUGGUCAAAGGCCUGCUGGGCUGAGCAAUUUGCUGUAUCUCUUAUUUAGCAAUCAACACUAAUAAGAAAUGUGACACUCACUUCACUGUGCCUGUUCUGCUGUAACAACAUCUCUGUGUGCAGUUAUUGCUGAGAUUUGUUACCAGGCUUUUCCUUGGAGGCAAAAAGGAUCCUUUCAAACUGCAAUAUGUCAGCCUAAAAAGGUGUAAGUCCAUCUGCUUUUUCAUUCAUCUUUUCCAGUGUUUUACACUACCUUUGUGCAAAUGGUGAGGAGGAAGGGUAAGUGCUGUCUAAUGAAUGGCAAAAUUCCAUUGUCUCCAAAAAAGGUUGGGUGUUUUUGAGUAUUCUGAAAUAGGAAAUAUGGGCAGAUUGCAAUUUGCAAAUGGAAACUGUGUCUAUGCUUAUUGAACUUGGUCUUGAUUUUAGCUGAGCACUGCACCACUCACUCAUUUUCCUUGCCAAAGUAGGCAACUGGACUAUUCAGUCCAUCCAGCUAACCUCAGUGAAACUAUUUCCUGACAGUUUUUUUUCUUUUUCCCCAGGAUUAAAGCAUCAGGUCCUUCUGUUACAGUGACUUCAGGUCAUGCUGGGACAAAGCCUUUUCAAUAAUGCUGGCAGCAUUCACAGAUGCAUUUAGACUGUUUCUGAGAAAUUCUCAUUGAUGAGAUAGAAAAUCAACUUGCAAAUAGAACUUUUGAAAUUAUUAAACAGGGGAGUUAAUUGGAAAUGUAGCAUGUAGGACUGUUUUAGCCUUCUUGUUGAAAGUGCUUAUUAACUGUUAAGAUUAUUUCAUGUUUAUCCACUGAAAUAUAUGUAAUGCAUGUUUUUACAGGCCAGUAUUUUUCUGAUGAGAUUCUUCUCCUACUUUAAUCUCUAAAACAUUUUACAUGAAGAUGUGUGAUUAUGGCAUCAAUAUAUGACUGAUAUUACCUGUGAAGGGUUAAGUGUAACAUGCAGGUUAUGAUGAAUAUUUAAGAAACAUUUUAGAAUCUUUCCAAUUGUAACUUUUGUUGAUGCCAAAUGUAAACCACAUGGCCACAUUUGAAAGAAAGUAGGGUGAACACCCAAUUUCUUAUGACAUGUUCCCAUUAUGACUGCCUCCUUCAAAUGGAAGCUUAAAAUGCUCUCCAUUAUCCAUUAGCUGUGGCUCUAGGGAGGUCCCAGAGGACUGGAGGUGCCAGUGUGAUGCCAAUCCAACAAGAAGGGCUGGAGGGGGGAGGCUCUGGGAAACUCCAGACCUGGCAGCCAGACCUCAGUGCCCUGCAGGAUCACAGAAUGGAUCACCCUGAGUGUGAUCAGAGCCUGCAGCAUGGCCAGGGGAUCAGAAUCCUGCAGGACUCCUGCAGCAGUUUUCCAUUUCCAGUGUAUCUCUUGACACAGCAGUGAAGAGAUCACUUUUCCUUUUCUGGUAGCUGAUUAUAUGGAGGGUCCUCCUCAGCACGUCACCUUCUCCUCCUCUCAUGAUGGCCUUGUCUUGAAUUAGUCUAAUAAAAUAUUUUCUGUCUGGAAUAGAAAACACCAUAAUUCCAAUCUUUCAUGAAAGCCUUACAAAUUAACUUGGGAAGAAUAAAUAAAAAUAUAUUUAAGUAUGUAAUUGGAAGAGAAUUUUGUGUUCUAGAGGCUUCUCAUUUAUCCUAAUGGUGGCAAAUUUAUUGAGAUGAGAAAGAGAGAAACAAGGAAUCUGCCUGCCUAUACAUUUCCUCUUGUUGUCUAACAGCAGCUGCUUCACUGGAAAAUGUGUUCUAAAGUGAAUAUUUAUUUUUUCAAUAGGAGACUAAACUGCUUUAUAGAGUUCUGGAUUGAGCCAAAUGACUUUUAAAGCCCAGAAAUUAAAUUAUGCAAUGUGUCAGGUUUAUAUUCUAGCUUUGUUUCCAGCUGCUGCUGCUGCA